UACGUAGGGGGCAAGCGUUGUCCGGAAUCAUUGGGCGUAAAGAGCGUGUAGGCGGCUCGGUAAGUCCGCUGUGAAAGUCCAGGGCUCAACCCUGGAAUGCCAGUGGAUACUGUCAAGCUAGAGUCCGGAAGAGGCGAGUGGAAUUCCCGGUGUAGCGGUGAAAUGCGCAGAUAUCAGGAGGAACACCAAUGGCGAAGGCAGCUCGCUGGGACGGUACUGACGCUGAGACGCGAAAGCGUGGGGAGCAAACAGG
rnacentral:rRNA from 1 species